rnacentral:rRNA from 1 species
CAGCUAGCUUAUCCACCAAUAUAACCAAAUAAUAUAAAUAAAAUAGAAUAGGCCGAACACCAAAAACUAAACCAUUCUUUUACCUGAGUAUGGGAGACAGAAAAGGUUCAACCAAAGCAAUAGAAAUAGUACCGCAAGGGAAAGCUGAAAGAGAAAUGAAAUAACCCAUAUAAGUAACAAAAAGCAAAGACUAAACCUUGUACCUUUUGCAUCAUGAUUUAGCCAGUAAACACAAGCAAAGAGACCUUUAGUUUGAAACCCCGAAACCAGGUGAGCUACCCCGAGACAGCCUAUUAAGGGCCAACCCGUCUCUGUGGCAAAAGAGUGGGAAGAGCUCCGGGUAGAAGUGACAGACCUACCGAACCUGGUGAUAGCUGGUUGCCUAAGAAAUGAAUAGAAGUUCAGCCUCGUACACCUCAAAUCAAAUAAACACCAAUCAAGACACCAAGAGAAAGACACGAGAGUUAGUUAAAGGGGGUACAGCCCCUUCAACAAAGGACACAACCUUAUUCAGGAGGAUAAAGAUCAUAAUAUAUAAAACAUACUGUUCUAGUGGGCCUAAAGGCAGCCACCUAAACAGAAAGCGUUAAAGCUCAGACAGAAAAAAGUUUAUUAUUCUGAUAAAAAAUCUUACUCCCCUAAAUACUAUUAGGCUAAUCCAUGCCCCCAUGGAAGAAAUUAUGCUAAAAUGAGUAACAAGAAGGCCCGCCCUUCUCCAAGCACAAGUGUAAGCCAAACCGGACCAACCAUUGGCAACUAACGAACUCAACCCAAGAGAGCAAUGUGAACCAUAAAAAAAACAAGAAAAACCCACAACUCAACAAUCGUUAACCCCACACUGGAAUGCUAUUAAAGGAAAGACUAAAAGAAAAGGAAGGAACUCGGCAAACACAAGCCUCGCCUGUUUACCAAAAACAUCGCCUCCUGCAACGCAGCCAUGUAUAGGAGGUCCAGCCUGCCCAGUGACUACAAGUUCAACGGCCGCGGUAUUUUGACCGUGCAAAGGUAGCGCAAUCACUUGUCUUUUAAAUAGAGACCUGUAUGAAUGGCUAAACGAGGGCUUAACUGUCUCCCCUUUCAAGUCAGUGAAAUUGAUCUGCCCGUGCAGAAGCG